UACAGAGGUCCCGAGCGUUGUUCGGAUUCACUGGGCGUAAAGGGCGCGUAGGCGGCGCAACAAGUCACUUGUGAAAUCUCCGGGCUUAACCCGGAGCGGCCAAGUGAUACUGUCGUGCUAGAGUGCGGAAGGGGCUACUGGAAUUCUCGGUGUAGCGGUGAAAUGCGUAGAUAUCGAGAGGAACACCUGCGGCGAAGGCGGGUAGCUGGGCCGACACUGACGCUGAUGCGCGAAAGCCAGGGGAGCGAACGGG
rnacentral:rRNA from 1 species